rnacentral:rRNA from 1 species
UACGAAGGGGGCUAGCGUUGCUCGGAAUGACUGGGCGUAAAGGGCGCGUAGGCGGAUGGCACAGUCAGAUGUGAAAUUCCCGGGCUUAACCUGGGGGCUGCAUUUGAUACGUGUUGUCUUGAGUUCGGAAGAGGGUCGUGGAAUUCCCAGUGUAGAGGUGAAAUUCGUAGAUGUUGGGAAGAACACCGGUGGCGAAGGCGGCGACCUGGUCCGAUACUGACGCUGAGGCGCGAAAGCGUGGGGAGCAAACAGG